rnacentral:rRNA from 1 species
GACGAACGCUGGCGGCGUGCUUAACACAUGCAAGUCGAACGGAAAGGCCCUGCUUUUGUGGGGUGCUCGAGUGGCGAACGGGUGAGUAACACGUGAGUAACCUGCCCUUGACUUUGGGAUAACUUCAGGAAACUGGUGCUAAUACCGGAUAGGAGCUCCUGCUGCAUGGUGGGGGUUGGAACGUUUCGGCGGUUGGGGAUGGACUCGCGGCUUAUCAGCUUGUUGGUGGGGUAGUGGCUUACCAAGGCUUUGACGGGUAGCCGGCCUGAGAGGGUGACCGGCCAAAUUGGGACUGAGAUACGGCCCAGACUCCUACGGGAGGCAGCAGUGGGGAAUAUUGCACAAUGGGCGGAAGCCUGAUGCAGCAACGCCGCGUGCGGGAUGACGGCCUUCGGGUUGUAAACCGCUUUCGCCUGUGACGAAGCGUGAGUGACGGUAAUGGGUAAAGAAGCACCGGCUAACUACGUGCCAGCCGCCGCAGUAA